UAACAAAAAUCCGGGCCUCCUUUCUGGAG
rnacentral:piRNA from 1 species